rnacentral:lncRNA from 1 species
GCCCGAGCGUCGAUUGGACAAUCGACUAGUUCAGUAUUCAACGUUAAGACAAUCGAUUUGGGAAUCGAUUAAGUAACUCUGGACAUCGAUUUGGACAUCGAUUUGAAAUAUUACCGUUGUGACUAUUUCUCACUAGCCGUUGAAGGUAAUUAUUACCAAAUCGAUUGAGGAUUUCCAGAAACGGUAACAUAGUCGAUUGAGCAAUCGAUUUACUUGUUCAAAGGUUUAAAUAGGAACAGUUCUAAAUCGAUUUCUUCACUGAUUAUCUCCAGAUUUCUCUAUUUUCUCUACUUCAUCUCCUUGCUCUGUCUCUGCAACUGAUAUCUA